UACGGAGGGGACUAGCGUUGUUCGGAAUUACUGGGCGUAAAGCGCACGUAGGCGGAUUUGUAAGUCAGGGGUGAAAUCCCGGGGCUCAACCUCGGAACUGCCUUUGAUACUGCAAUCUCGAGUCCGGAAGAGGUGAGUGGAAUUCCUAGUGUAGAGGUGAAAUUCGUAGAUAUUAGGAAGAACACCAGUGGCGAAGGCGGCUCGACUGGUCCG
rnacentral:rRNA from 1 species